CGGUUAUUACAGUAUCUCCGGAUCUACUAGGAUGAAACUCCAAGUUGAGCUCCAACAACUUCAGGAUUAUGCCAAGAAUGUGGUACCUGCACGAGAAGGUGCUGGUCUUCCACAUCCACGGCCGCAAGAUCGCCCGCCUUCACUCCACCAGCUUCGGGAUCUUCCACCUCCACUCCUCGAGCUCCAGUGGCGUCCGUCUGCGAGAGGUCGCCGGCGCGAAGGGUGGGAGGUCGCCAGCCCGCCGGCGUGAGCCUAUGAGCUCCACCGGGUGGCCCGCCGGCUCCAGCCAGCGAGGCGUGCGAGACUCCGCCGGCACCAGGCAGCGAGGGGCGAGGGACUCCGCCGGCACCAGGCUGCGAGGGGCGCGGGACUCCGCCGGCACCAAGGUGCGCGGCGCGUGAAGCUCCGGCGGCGGCGCGGAAUUUCGGCGGCAUCAGGCUGCACGGGGCGGCGUCGGGCGGCGCGAUCCGCCGGCGGGAGCUCGCGGCAUCGACCGCGGGAGUCCCCCGCUGCCAGGCUGCACGGGGCGCGGAACUCCGGCGUCGUCACGGGCGUGCGAUCCGCCGGCGGGAGCCCGCGCACGCGAUCUUGGGAGAUACGAUUUGGGAUUGGAUGGUGAUGUUUUCGAAAUACUAAGGGUUCAAUUGCAAAAACUGUUUUACACUAGCCCUGCGACACCUAUUACGUGA